rnacentral:rRNA from 1 species
AGAGCGAACGCUGGCGGCAGGCCUAACACAUGCAAGUCGAGCGCCCCGCAAGGGGAGCGGCAGACGGGAGAGUAACACGUGGGACCAUGCCCUUCAGUACGGAACAACCAAGGGAAACUUUGGCUAAUACCGUAUACGCCCGUAAGGGAAGAUUUAUCGCUGAAGGAUUGGCCCGCGUCUGAUUAGCUAGUUGGUGGGGUAAUGGCCCACCAAGGCGACGAUCAGUAGCUGGUCUGAGAGGAUGAUCAGCCUCACUGGGACUGAGACACGGCCCAGACUCCUACGGGAGGCAGCAGUGGGAAUAUUGGACAAUGGGCGCAAGCCUGAUCCAGCCAUGCCGCGUGAGUGAUGAAGGCCUUAGGGUUGUAAAGCUCUUUCGUCAUCGACGAAGCCUCGUCGGGGUGACGGUAGGUGGAGAAGAAGCACCGGCCAACUACGUGCCAGCAGCCGC